UGGGGAAUAUUGGACAAUGGGGGCAACCCUGAUCCAGCCAUGCCGCGUGAGUGAUGAAGGCCUUCGGGUUGUAAAGCUCUUUUGGCGGGGCGAUGAUGACGGUACCCGCAGAAUAAGCCCCGGCUAACUUCGUGCCAGCAGCCGCGGUAAGACGAAGGGGGCUAGCGUUGUUCGGAAUUACUGGGCGUAAAGCGAGUGUAGGCGGUUGCCGUAGUCAGGUGUGAAAGCCUUGAGCUCAACUCAAGAAAUGCACUUGAUACUGGGUGACUAGAGGACCCGGAGAGGAUAGUGGAAUUCCCAGUGUAGUGGUGAAAUACGUAGAGAUUGGGAAGAACACCAGUGGCGAGGCGGCUAUCUGGNCGGUUACUGACGCUAAGACUCGAAAGCGUGGGGNGCAAACAGGAUUAGAUACCCUGGUAGUCCACGCCGUAAACGAUGGGUGCUAGACGUU
rnacentral:rRNA from 1 species